GAUGAAGAACGUAGCGAAAUGCGAUAAGUAGUGUGAAUUGCAGAAUUCAGUGAAUCAUCGAAUCUUUGAACGCACAUUGCGCCCCUUGGUAUCCCGAGGGGCACGCCUGUUCGAGCGUCAUUUCACCACUCAAGCCUGGCUUGGUGUUGGGCGACGUCCCCUUUGGGGACGCGCCUCGAAACGCUCGGCGGCGUGGCACCGGCUUUAAGCGUAGCAGAAUCUUUCGCUUUGGAAGUCGGGGCCCCGUCUGCCGGAAGACCUACUCGCAAGGUUGACCUCGGAUCAGGCAGGGAUACCCGCUGAACUUAAGCAUAUCAAUAAGCGGAGGA
rnacentral:misc_RNA from 1 species